rnacentral:snoRNA from 1 species
ACCCUCCAAUUCUUUACCCAUCAAAUCUAAACAUUGUUCUGAGAGGUUAUAAAAGGAAGAAACGUAAAAUUGAAACUCACUCCCAGGCUUUUUUGGGUACAUGAGCUAGCACAAGA